CAGUAGCCGCGGUAAUACGUAGGUGGCAAGCGUUGUCCGGAAUUAUUGGGCGUAAAGCGCGCGCAGGCGGCCUAUCCAGUCUGUCUUAAAAGUUCGGGGCUCAACCCCGUGAUGGGAUGGAAACUAGUAGGCUAGAGUAUCGGAGAGGAAAGCGGAAUUCCUAGUGUAGCGGUGAAAUGCGUAGAUAUUAGGAAGAACACCAGUGGCGAAGGCGGCUUUCUGGACGAAAACUGACGCUGAGGCGCGAAAGCUAGGGGAGCGAACGGGAUUAGAUACCCCCGUAGUCCCUGUCUCUUAUACA
rnacentral:rRNA from 1 species